rnacentral:rRNA from 1 species
UAGGGAAUUUUGGACAAUGGGCGAAAGCCUGAUCCAGCAAUGCCGCGUGUGUGAAGAAGGCCUUCGGGUUGUAAAGCACUUUUGUCCGGAAAGAAAUCCUUGGCUCUAAUACAGUCGGGGGAUGACGGUACCGGAAGAAUAAGCACCGGCUAACUACGUGCCAGCAGCCGCGGUAAUACGUAGGGUGCAAGCGUUAAUCGGAAUUACUGGGCGUAAAGCGUGCGCAGGCGGUUUGCUAAGACCGAUGUGAAAUCCCCGGGCUCAACCUGGGAACUGCAUUGGUGACUGGCAGGCUAGAGUAUGGCAGAGGGGGGUAGAAUUCCACGUGUAGCAGUGAAAUGCGUAGAGAUGUGGGGGAAUACCGAUGGCGAAGGCAGCCCCCUGGGCCAAUACUGACGCUCAUGCACGAAAGCGUGGGGAGCAAACAGGAUUAGAUACCCUGGUAGUCCACGCCCUAAACGAUGUCAACUAGUUGUUGGGGAUUCAUUUCCUUAGUAACGUAGCUAACGCGUGAAGUUGACCGCCUGGGGAGUACGGUCGCAAGAUUAAAACUUAAAGGAAUUGACGGGGUCAUAGCUGUUUCCU